CAAGGAAUGUCCGUUACGAAUAGAUUUUCAAUGUAAACCCUAACUUUUUAAUUUCCCCUUUCUCGUCACUCUCUCUCAUCAAAAUAUUUCCCCUUUCUCUCUCCAAUAAUAUUGAAGCUCAGUUCGGACCUCAGCUCCCCGAACUCCGGCCGAUCCUGAGCUCGUCCUCUCCAAAACCCGGUGGUCCUCAGCUCCCUCAACUCAGGUCGUUCCUCAGCUUGAUCCUCUCCAAACUCCGGUGCACUCUCUCGUCGCGACUCAGCUGCGCUCUCUACUCCCUCUCACGCAGCAGCGCUCUGUCCAUUGAAGCUGCUCAAGCUCUCCCUUCCUGCUCAAGAAACUCCCAUCAAUAGCUUCCUGGCUUAUAAAUUAUAUCAGGCGAAUCUCACAGGGAGUGAAUUGAAAUCACAUAGGCAAAAAUUGAAAUUCAUACAAAUGAAGUGCGCUCAACAACAAGGAGGCGUUGAAUGUGGCUACUACAUUAUGAGAUACAUGUAAUGAGAUUGUUACUUCUCACUUGGAGUGCAAAGGUGUCUUAUAGGAGGAUUUUUUUCCAAGGGCAGCCCUGGUGAUGUUGACAAGUUGAAUGUGGUUCGAGAACCAUGGGCGCAAUACUUUAGAAGUAAAUAUUUAUUGAAUGCAUAACUAUUAGCUUAGGUAGAACAAAGUAAUAUUUUUAGUGUUGUAUGUUGUAUAUGUUGGAUAAAUUUAUACAAGUUUUUAUUUGUAAUGUGUUA